CUUCUCUCUUCCUCCAGAAUCACCAUGUGAUCCUGGGAUGAGGAUGCCAAUGGAAGAUGUUCGAUAAGUCUUAUACAAUAUAUAGAUUUAUGAUAAUUAAGACUGAGGUAGCAGAUAUGAAAUCCUAAUCAUUGGCCAAGCAGCAUUUGCACCUAAUAUAAGUCUCUGUAUAUUAUUUUAGCCAUCCACGUGGCUGGCAGAACUCAAGCGGGUGGCAGAAAGAUUUAUCCUAACAUAUAUGGUUGCAUCUUCAUCAUUGCACGUGGGGAUGGGGGGAGCAAACAAAACUCUUCACUGAUAAUGUAAAAUAUUUUUGACUUAUAUUCCUUUGUCUUGCUCCCUAAAAAUGAACUUCAGCUUGCAUUUAGUCUAAACUGUCAUAUAUGGCAGAGGGAACUGGGAUUGACUUGUAAAAUAAUCUUGCUUCUAAUUUAAAUAAAAAUGGAGAGAAAGAAAAAAGAAAUGCACAUAUAUGCACAUAUCCAUUUGACUAUACAUUAGCUUAUUUUAAAUUUAGUUUUAUACUACCAAAUUGGAAUCACAAAAUAAAACUGAUCUUCUAAUUAAUACUCUUCACACAGAUGCACAUUUUCAGUAAAGUAUUACUUAAAGUAAAAUUCAUUCUUUUGGGAGUCUUGCAAAUCUUGACAAGGGUGUAUGGUCCUAUUUGAUUCACAGUGAAGAUACACAACAACUUUAUCAUGAUUAGCCUUCUCUACCGUCUCUAUCUAUUUAUAGGGUUUUUUUGAGACAGGAUUUCUUGCAUAGUCAUGGCUGUCCUGGAACUUGCUAUUUAGACCAAGCUGGCCUCAAACUUACAGAGAUUCACUUGUGUCUGCUUCUAGAGUGCUAGGACUAAAGGCAUGUGCCACCAUGCCUGGCUUAUCCUCUGUCUCUUAAAGUAUAUCUGUACACUAAACCACAACCACAGUUAUAAACUAAAUUCUGAUCCUCCUAGAUUUGUUGCAUGGGAGUUUGCUCUUUAAUAUGUGUGCAUGCCUUUUUAUUUAUAUUGACACAUUUUCUUUUCUUUUUUUUUAAAGAUGUAUUUAUUAUGUAUAUAGUGUUCUGCCUGCAUAUAUCCUUGCACACCAGAAGAGAGCACAAGCUCUCAUUACAGAUGGUUGUGAGCCACCAUGUGAUUGCUGGGAAUUGAACUCAGUACCUCUGGAAGAGCAGCCAAUGCUCUUAACCUCUGAGCCAUCUCUCCAACCCCCACAUUUUCUUCAAUGCAUGAAUCAGGGGACAGAUGAACCCAGAGAAGAAAAAGACCCUGGAGAGAAGCCCAUUGUUAGGAUCAAUACUUCAUUGUUUCAGUGCCUUUGGUUGCUCACUAGUGCAACCAAAAUAUGCAGGGCACAUACUUUUCCCUCAAAGCACAGUGACUGCUGGAUUCAGCUUCCUUCUGGGCAGCUGUUCUCCCAGUGACUGACCUUACCAGGUGCCUUAGAAAAGCAUCUACUCUGAAGUAUCUGCUCGAGAUCUGAAGUGCAGCAGUGUCCAAUACACCCUGGCACUUCUAUCAAUGAUGGAUACCUGCAUCCAGUGACAUCAUAGAGCUGAACAUGUGGUAGAAUGGCUUGCAUGGGGUUCAGAAAAUAGUGCGGAAGUGGAAAACCUACUUUGAUCUCAUCAUUGAAGAGGUGCAGCAGAAACAGGGAAACCUGACACACAAAGGGAAGACCAUAGAAGACUGAACUUGCAGUGAUACUGCCAUAAAACCAGGAAAGCAGUAUCAGCCAGAAAUGCUGCAAGAGAGGCAAAAGGUUAUCUCUUCUGGAGGCUUAGAAAGAAAAGAAAUUCCUGCUGUUCUGUGCUCUGAGUGUGGUGAUUUGAUAGGGUUGCCUUGGGCACCUAGCCUGUUUGGUAAUAACAAAUCUCAAAUGUAACUGAUU
ensembl:lncRNA